rnacentral:rRNA from 1 species
UACGUAGGGGGCUAGCGUUGUCCGGAAUCAUUGGGCGUAAAGAGCGUGUAGGCGGCCCGGUAAGUCCGCUGUAAAAGUCAAAGGCUCAACCUUUGAAUGUCAGUGGAUACUGCCGGGCUAGAGUCCGGAAGAGGCGAGUGGAAUUCCUGGUGUAGCGGUGAAAUGCGCAGAUAUCAGGAGGAACACCAAUUGCGAAGGCAGCUCGCUGGGACGUUACUGACGCUGAGACGCGAAAGCGUGGGGAGCAAACAGG